rnacentral:lncRNA from 1 species
CCAAUUUAAACUGCAAAUGUGUUUGUAAAGACAUUAUCCUUUUAUCAUUUGCAUGCUAAACUGUUGAAUUUGAUGCAACAUGGGGUAUUCUCAUAGUUUGUUUUCGUAUAUGUAACGUUACAUACGAACUUGGGGCCACGGAAAGCUAGCACGCUAAAAUUAGCUUAGAACCGAAAAGGGACGCAGCUACUUGCAACAUCCCAUCUAGGGAUGCUAUGUUAGCUGUGCGUUGUUGAAUAUAAAACAUGUGAAUAGUCGGGUGAAAAGCACAAUUUCCGUGCAUUAAUCCUGUGAAGUUAAUUUUAGGACCCAUUCUUCUAUUUUUCCGUGAUAGCUUCUGAUGUUGCUAGCUAAAUGGACUUGAUGUAGCCAACAGUUAGCCCUUUAGGCUGGGGGCCUAGAUGUUGAGACUGUGUCUUCGUCCACUGAGCCUAGCACCAGUGUAUUUUUCAAAUUAACAAGUGGUGACUUGGCCUCUCCAAUUACAGAUGCCUACAGUGGUUUUUAGUAAACGGCAGCUCCAGGCUAAAGUGUGUUUCUGAGAGAGAGAGAACUGGCUUCUGGCUUCCAUAACAAUCUUUGUUACUGCAGACAAUUCUAGUGAGAAAUUAUUCAGUUUUUAUUUUUCAGCUGAUUAAGCUCUAAACAGUUAAUUACAGAUUUCAAAGUCAAGCCUGUACUUGCAUAGCCUAGUCAACGUAUGUUAUAGUUCAAAUGGAAUUAAUAAGAGUGACCUCUGUGGGGCUUAUUGACAAACCCUUGUAUAUUUUGGCAGUCAAACUUCUCACCCUUCCCCAUCCUGGUACUGGUGUUUUCAUGCACAAGAUUAUCGAUGGCAGGAAAUCUUUGUUUUGGGGGUUGACAGACUAAACAUGCUCCAUCAUCAGAAGACGUGCUCUGUUGAGAUGAAUAUCAUUUUUUUGUUGUUCCUUCUUUCCAGCUGCUGUGAAGAGAUGGAAUUCCAAGGCCACAGAUACAGAAAUCCAAGUAGCCAUGAGUUUACCCCUGAAACAUGCACCCGCCAGGACUGGGGGGGGGGGGAUCUUGGUCCCAAUAAAGGGACCAAAAAUGAGAUCUAAAUUUUGUUCUUCUUUAAAGAGGAUGUAGGGCCUACUUGGGUAAAAAAACUAAAUAAUGUUUUGUAUAUUGCACUUUAUACCCUGACAUCUGUCUUUUGUUGAAGAGUAUUAAAGGGACUCUCACCUUUGUUGCAUUUUUACACUUUUUUUGGAUAAGGUUAAAUUUGUAUUAAUAAGGUAAUAACACUCUAAUAUGCAAGACAGACCCACCAGGAGUAAAAACAAACAAUUAUUUUACAUAACCCAUGGGAGUCUAAACAUAACCCAUGGGAGUCUAGAACUUUUGUACUACUAGCGACCCUGGGACAGUUAAAUAGUUUGUGUGUUAUGUGUUACAUUAUAUUUCGUUGUCCGUUAUGCCAGUUGUUCUAUGUGCAUGUAUUGUAAUGUUCUUCUUGUCAAUCAGCGUGGGGGCGAAUCAUUAGGUCAGCUGGGGGAGGGCCUUGGAAGAACAGGAGGGUGGGGGCCUGCACGCGAGUGAGACCGUGUUGGGGGUUGCCGGGGUAACCGGGGUUUGUUUUGUGUCGGUUUUCUGCCGUUGGUUACAAUGUUACGGGUUUCAGUGACCUGGUUUUGGUUCAUUAAAACUACCUUCAACUACUAAUGACUCGACAUCAUUAUGUCACCGGCGAGGUCGUUACGGUACUCGUUAAAAAAUAACUCUUAGUUUUGUACUCUAAAAAAUAACGCUUAGGGGGUGGGGCAUUGGAGGAAGGCGGGAUGAUUUGAAUGUGCUGUAAUUCUCAAAUGCAACAAAGGUGAGAGUCCCUUUAAGAUACAUCAUAUAAUUCAGAAUAUGUCUCAUAAUUAUCUGAACAUAUUAAACAAUGUUGUCAACAGUCUAUUUGAUUGGAUUGAGCUGGGCAUGACUAAAUAUGAAUUUGUAAGUUUUGAUUUGCUGCAUUUGCCUACAAUAAAUAGCAUCUAUUAAUCUAAGGGUAGACUACUUGUAAUUGUAGCUGACUUAAACUUAAAAGUCAGCUAAAAUGUAAGUACCCUUAGUUUAAUGUCUGCUAAUAUUGUCAUGCAGCCAAUCAAAAUAUUAAAAAUCUGUUUACAUAAAUGUUAUUAUCAUGCUGGCAAGCAGUAUGGAAUGUUAAUCAUUGCAUUAUCUCAAUUUAUACCAUGGUCUGGGUGAAUACUCGAUUCUGAUUGGCUGGAGGGUGUAGGUUAAAAAGUGUUAAUUUACACCGAGGAAAGACGUUGACCCUAUGAAGACGCUAUGGCCACGUUGCUUGGCCUCACCUGCAUACGGGAGAUAUUAAAUAGUCUGCUUAUUUUAGCUACAGUAGCGCUAGCUGCUAGGCUAGGCUUGUUAUCAGGUUGUUGGGAAAGUGUAGUGGAAGGAAUAUACCUUUCUUGGUAAAAAAAAACUGGGUGACAAACUGUCGACCGCUUUGAGCUCUUUCCUCUCUCUCGUUCCUCCUCUGACAACCUGACUUCUUAAUUUCACCGACCGGGAUACACACAAACUGACUUUAGACUGCUAGUUUAAGACACUAGCAGUCUGCACUUGGUUCACAAUGAUCUGCCUGGCUGCUACUUUGCUCUGCAGUAGCGUAAGACGUGGGCUGUACCAAAUAAUGACAAAUGAGAG